AAUGGCAGGUCAGCAUACUGCCGUGAAUACGUUCCCGGGCCUUGUACACACCGCCCGUCACACCAUGAGAGUUGGAAAUACCCGAAGCCUGUGAGCUGACCGUAAGGGGGCAGCAGUCGAAGGUAGAGCCAAUGAUUGGGGUGAAGUCGUAACAAGGUAAC
rnacentral:rRNA from 1 species